rnacentral:rRNA from 1 species
GAUGAACGCUGGCGGCGUGCCUAAUACAUGCAAGUAGAACGCUGAAGGAGGAGCUUGCUCUUCUGGAUGAGUUGCGAACGGGUGAGUAACGCGUAGGUAACCUGCCUGGUAGCGGGGGAUAACUAUUGGAAACGAUAGCUAAUACCGCAUGACAACAGUUAUUGCAUGAUAACUGUUUAAAAGGGGCAACUGCUCCACUACCAGAUGGACCUGCGUUGUAUUAGCUAGUUGGUGAGGUAACGGCUCACCAAGGCGACGAUACAUAGCCGACCUGAGAGGGUGAUCGGCCACACUGGGACUGAGACACGGCCCAGACUCCUACGGGAGGCAGCAGUAGGGAAUCUUCGGCAAUAGACGGAAGUCUGACCGAGCAACGCCGCGUGAGUGAAGAAGGUUUUCGGAUCGUAAAGCUCUGUUGUAAGAGAAGAACGAGUGUGAGAGUGGAAAGUUCACACUGUGGCGGUAUCUUACCAGAAAGGGACGGCUAACUACGUG